CCCUGUCCUUCCCCGUUUCCUGUCAGCCCACUAUCAUAUAAGGGACACUAGAGCCCACAAGAAGACCCCCUGGAGGGGUAAAAAAAAAUCUCACAAUUUUUACCCAGUGGCUGAAUUUUUGCACAAAAGAUUUAAAUUUGAUUCAACAUGUUGUAUCUUUAGUGAAUGUCCAGAAGAAUCAUUAAUCAGCUCUUUUUUUCUGUCCUUUUUCUUUUAAACUAUGGAGAGACAUUAAAAAUUGGUUGUCCCUUAAAAUUGAAGAGAUAACCAUCACCCACAUAUUAUACUAUGUUGAUGAUCUUGAUAGUCAAAUAUCUGACAUGGUAAAUAUUGUCUUCUUGCUUGUUAAAUAUCAUAAAUCCUGCUGUAAAUGCAGAGGUUCUACACCUUGUUUUGAUUUUUUCUUAAUUAAUUUAAACUGUAUUACACCUCAUUGAAACAUUUGAAAUCUGUUUAUGCAAAAAAGGGUAACUGUCAGUAUCUCUACUUUUCUUUUGUUUUAAAUCUUGCUCUAUUUUUAUUCAUUUGCUUUACUGUUUAUGUUUUUGUCUUUAGUCUUAGCCCCAUGCUUGGUUUCUUUUUUUCCUACCUUUGUUGCAAAGUUCUUUGUACCUCAACGAGUCUUUGUAUACUGUUUGUCUAAUAAUAAUAAUUAAAAAAGAACCUGGACGGGUUCCGGGGUGUGAAUACUUUUGGCUGUCCUGCAGUAGCUGCAGGCCUCCAGCAGGGGGCAGCGGCUCUCCACUCACUGAGAUGUUUUGAUCCGCCGCUGAUCACUUCCUGUUGUUCUAGUUCUGUUGGGUCCGGUACCCUAUCCAGAAGCCUGAGGUCCAAUCUGUGGUCUCUGGAGUCUACUACUGAGGUUCUGGCACGGAUCCAAUCGGGAUCAGAUUCAGGUUCUGAUUGGAUCAGAACCAGAAUCAGUACCAGGAGUCGGGUCGGGGGUUCUGACAGAAACAGAAACUAGAGACUAUUUCAGUUUCCGUGGAAACAAGAUGCAAUGAGCAGAAAGUCCCUAAACGUUUGCAGCGCCUGGUUCCGGUCCAAUGAAACUUCACAGCCCGGUUCCAGCCCAGGAGACCCUUGGUGGAUCUUAAUCAGAGGUUUGAACGCCUGAACUCCCUGAAGACCAAACCGGAUCAGAACCAGGACCCUGGACCGUGAACCUGACCAAGUUCUGAUCUAGUUCUGGUUCUGACCUGGUGUUGGUUCUACUGGGCCAGCGCUUAUCUAAUAAACCAAACUCAACCAGAACCAGACUGACCAGUGGAGGGCGACAGUGGAGAGGAAAAACUCCCCAUUAACAGGAAGAAAUCUCCACCAGAACCUGACUCAGAACCAGAACCAGGCUCAGAAACAGCAGCCGUCUGAUACGACCAACCGGAGGUCAGAGAAGACAGAGCAGACCUGAACCAGGAGAACUUUCUAUGUGAUCAGGGCAGAUGGUCAGUAACUGGAAAAGUCUGUGAGAAGAAACAUCUGUGUUGAAUAAAAGACAUUGAGUUUUAUUUUUUAUUUUUCUGUCCAAUCGUAUUUAUCUUGGAGAUUUUCAUGAUUUGUUCGUGUUAGGUUUUCCUUUACUCCUUUACAUUUUGGCUGCGAGUGAAGUGGUGUGUUAGCAGUGUGUCAGUGGGAUGUUAGCAGUGUGCUAACGGUGUGUUAGCAGUGUGUCAGUGGGUUGUUAGCAGUGUGUCAGUGGGGAGUUAGCAGUGUGCUAACGGUGUUAGCAGUGUGUCAAUGGGGAGUUAGUUGUGUGCUAACCAUGUGUCAGCAGUGUACUAACGGUGUAUUAGCAGUGUGCUAACGGUGUGUUAGCAGUGGGUUAGCGGCGUGUUAGCGGGUAGUGCAGAGAAGUUCUGCUUCCUGGUCUAGACUCCAGCUUGUUGAUGUUGGAGAAGAACCAGCAGAGACUCGGAGUCAAAAUGUUUUAUUAGAAUCAGUGAUCAGCUGCAGUUACAGAGACAAUGAAAGAACACACAC